AAUGACAACACAAGCGCCGCGCGGGACUUUUUAAAACGUCUGGAUGGAUUUCGCUGCAGCGAUCACUCAACUGUCGUGUGUGUGUGUGAGAGAGAGAGAAUGUGUGCACGCAGAUAUAAGAAGUUGGGGUUGAUGAUCCACAUGAUGGUGAUGGACCAGGACAGCUCUGGACCUCCUGACUGGCAGCUCCAUCCUCAACAUCUCUUCCUGCCCUUCACACAUGUGCAGGCAGCCAGUUUUCUGAAAGAUGGUUGAUGUCAGUACGAACAUGUUGUGAUGGAGGCUUCCACCUGAGCUGAACACAGAAACUUGCACACAGUGAUGGAAGCAGUCGUUCUUGUUCAGCAUCGAUAUGCCAGUAAUGGGUUUGAUGAGCCA